rnacentral:misc_RNA from 1 species
UUUCCGUAAGCAAUUUCCCUCUCUCAAUACUUUCCAACAAUUACUAACUAUUUUGUAGGUAGGUGAACCUGCGGAAGGAUCAUUCAUAAUAAGUGUUUUAUGGCACUUUUUUAAAUCCAUAUCCACCUUGUGUGCAAUGUCAGGGUUGAUUUUUCUCUCGAGAGGAUCAGCCCCAAACAUCAACUAUAUCUCAACUCUUUGUCUGAAAAAUAUUAUGAAUAAAACAAUUCAAAAUACAACUUUCAACAACGGAUCUCUUGGCUCUC